GUAGCACAGAGAGCUUGCUCUCGGGUGACGAGCGGCGGACGGGUGAGUAAUGUCUGGGAAACUGCCUGAUGGAGGGGGAUAACUACUGGAAACGGUAGCUAAUACCGCAUAACGUCGCAAGACCAAAGAGGGGGACCUUCGGGCCUCUUGCCAUCAGAUGUGCCCAGAUGGGAUUAGCUAGUAGGUGGGGUAACGGCUCACCUAGGCGACGAUCCCUAGCUGGUCUGAGAGGAUGACCAGCCACACUGGAACUGAGACACGGUCCAGACUCCUACGGGAGGCAGCAGUGGGGAAUAUUGCACAAUGGGCGCAAGCCUGAUGCAGCCAUGCCGCGUGUAUGAAGAAGGCCUUCGGGUUGUAAAGUACUUUCAGCGAGGAGGAAGGCAUUGAGGUUAAUAACCUUAGUGAUUGACGUUACUCGCAGAAGAAGCACCGGCUAACUCCGUGCCAGCAGCCGCGGUAAUACGGAGGGUGCAAGCGUUAAUCUUAAUUACUGGGCGUAAAGCGCACGCAGGCGGUCUGUCAAGUCGGAUGUGAAAUCCCCGGGCUCAACCUGGGAACUGCAUUCGAAACUGGCAGGCUAGAGUCUUGUAGAGGGGGGUAGAAUUCCAGGUGUAGCGGUGAAAUGCGUAGAGAUCUGGAGGAAUACCGGUGGCGAAGGCGGCCCCCUG
rnacentral:rRNA from 1 species